ACGCUGGCUACAGGCUUAACACAUGCAAGUCGAGGGGAAACGGCGUUGAGUGCUCGCACUGAAUGGACGUCGACCGGCGCACGGGUGAGUAACGCGUAUCCAACCUUCCCGUUACUGCGGGAUAACCUGCCGAAAGGCAGACUAAUACCGCAUGUUCUUCGAUGACGGCAUCAGAUUCGAAGCAAAGACUCGUCGGUAACGGAGGGGGAUGCGUCUGAUUAGCUGGUUGGCGGGGCGACGGCCCACCAAGGCGACGAUCAGUAGGGGUUCUGAGAGGAAGGUCCCCCACAUUGGAACUGAGACACGGUCCAAACUCCUACGGGAGGCAGCAGUGAGGAAUAUUGGUCAAUGGGCGGAAGCCUGAACCAGCCAAGUAGCGUGCAGGAUGACGGCCCUACGGGUUGUAAACUGCUUUUAUGCGGGGAUAAAGUGAGGGACGCGUCCCUUUUUGCAGGUACCGCAUGAAUAAGGACCGGCUAAUUCCGUGCCAGCAGCCGCGGUAAUACGGAAGGUCCGGGCGUUAUCCGGAUUUAUUGGGUUUAAAGGGAGCGUAGGCCGGGGAUUAAGUGUGUUGUGAAAUGUAGGCGCCCAACGUCUGACUUGCAGCGCAUACUGGUUCCCUUGAGUACGCGCAACGCCGGCGGAAUUCGUCGUGUAGCGGUGAAAUGCUUAGAUAUGACGAAGAACCCCGAUUGCGAAGGCAGCCGGCGGGAGCGCAACUGACGCUGAAGCUCGAAGGUGCGGGUAUCGAACAGGAUUAGAUACCCUGGUAGUCCGCACGGUAAACGAUGGAUGCCCGCUGUCGGCGCCCUGCGCCGGCGGCCAAGCGAAAGCGUUAAGCAUCCCACCUGGGGAGUACGCCGGCAACGGUGAAACUCAAAGGGAAUUGACGGGGGCCCGCACAAGCGGAGGAACAUGUGGUUUAAUUCGAUGAUACGCGAGGAACC
rnacentral:rRNA from 1 species